rnacentral:rRNA from 1 species
UACGAAGGGGGCUAGCGUUGCUCGGAAUCACUGGGCGUAAAGGGUGCGUAGGCGGGUCUUAAGUCAGGGGUGAAAUCCUGGAGCUCAACUCCAGAACUGCCUUUGAUACUGAGGAUCUUGAGUUCGGGAGAGGUGAGUGGAACUGCGAGUGUAGAGGUGAAAUUCGUAGAUAUUCGGAGGAACACCAGUGGCGAAGGCGGCUUACUGGUCCAUUACUGACGCUGAGGUGCGAAAGCGUGGGGAGCAAACAGG